GGUUAAGCGAAUAAGCGUACACGGUGGAUGCCUAGGCAAUCAGAGGCGAUGAAGGACGUGCUAAUCUGCGAAAAGCGUCGGUAAGGUGAUAUGAACCGUUAUACCCGACGAUAUCCGAAUGGGGAAACCCAGUAUCCAAUGGAUACUAUCAUUAACUGAAUCCAUAGGUUAAUGAGGCGAACCGGGAGAACUGAAACAUCUCAGUACCCCGAGGAAAAGAAAUCAACCGAGAUUCCCCU
rnacentral:rRNA from 1 species